GGGGGGGGGGGUGCUAAUACAUGCAAGUCGAGCGAACAGAGAAGGAGCUUGCUCCUUUGACGUUAGCGGCGGACGGGUGAGUAACACGUGGGCAACCUACCUUAUAGUUUGGGAUAACUCCGGGAAACCGGGGCUAAUACCGAAUAAUCUAUUUUACUUCAUGGUGAAAUACUGAAAGACGGUUUCGGCUGUCGCUAUAAGAUGGGCCCGCGGCGCAUUAGCUAGUUGGUGAGGUAACGGCUCACCAAGGCGACGAUGCGUAGCCGACCUGAGAGGGUGAUCGGCCACACUGGGACUGAGACACGGCCCAGACUCCUACGGGAGGCAGCAGUAGGGAAUCUUCCACAAUGGGCGAAAGCCUGAUGGAGCAACGCCGCGUGAGUGAAGAAGGUUUUCGGAUCGUAAAACUCUGUUGUAAGGGAAGAACAAGUACAGUAGUAACUGGCUGUACCUUGACGGUACCUUAUUAGAAAGCCACGGCUAACUACGUGCCAGCAGCCGCGGUAAUACGUAGGUGGCAAGCGUUGUCCGGAAUUAUUGGGCGUAAAGCGCGCGCAGGCGGUCCUUUAAGUCUGAUGUGAAAGCCCACGGCUCAACCGUGGAGGGUCAUUGGAAACUGGGGGACUUGAGUGCAGAAGAGGAAAGUGGAAUUCCAAGUGUAGCGGUGAA
rnacentral:rRNA from 1 species